UAUUUUUGAAGACAUCCAAGUUCCAUUUUUUUUCUUUUUCCUUCUUCAAUUUGCAGAGAACUUCUAAGAGAGAGUUUGGAAGAAGAAGAGAAAUUUUACUAGAAUUUUUAGGUUGAAGAAGAGGAGGAGAACUCAAGCAAAGUGUAUCAAUUGCUGAAUUUUAGUUCAUUCUGCACAUCACUGGUUUUUAAUUCGGUUUGAACUCUUCAAAAGGAAUUAAGAGGAACAAGUUAAAGAGGUCGUGUGCGCGCGAUUCUGGAAGUGGUCCUGUUUUGAGGGUUAUAUGUGUUUAUGCACGGGGAAUCAGAUUUAUAUGUCUUCAGGCCGAGAAGAAUUAAACCGAGCUUAUAGACCAAGGAUCUAGCCCAAGACUGUGAGUGACAAAACCAACUUUGAAAUAUUUUCCAUAAUUGUUAUUAUGAUUGAAUGCGAUAAAUGUUUGUUUACGAAGCCAU